rnacentral:rRNA from 1 species
UACGGGGGGGGCAAGCGUUGUUCGGAAUUACUGGGCGUAAAGGGCUCGUAGGUGCCAACUAAGUCAGACGUGAAAUCCCUCGCUUAACCGGGGAACUGCGUCUGAUACUGGAUGGCUUGAGUUUGGGAGAGGGACGCGGAAUUCCAGGUGUAGCGGUGAAAUGCGUAGAUAUCUGGAGGAACACCGGUGGCGAAGGCGGCGUC